CCCUUAGAUGUUCUGGGCCGCACGCGUGCUACACUGAGUGGAUCAGCGGGUCAGGUUGCGCGAAAGUGUUUCCUAAUCUUGAAAUCCGCUCGUGAUGGGGAUUGACGGUUGCAAUUUUCCGUCAUGAACGAGGAAUACCUUGUAAGCGCGGGUCAUCAUCCCGCGCUGAAUACGUCCCUGCCCUUUGUACACACCGCCCGUCGCUCCUACCGAUUGAGUGGUCUGGUGAGGCUUUGGGAUCUGAGCAAAAAGAGCGUUUCGCUCGUUUGGCUCGGAAAACUCAGUCGAACCUUAUCAUUUAGAGGAAGGAGAAGUCGUAACA
rnacentral:rRNA from 1 species